GGGGGCGAUUUGGCUUCGACGGGGAUAAAGACUCGCGGGAUGCAUGCCGAGCUCCAUUGACUCGUUAAUCCGAUGGAAUAUCCCUUAACUGCGGAUACUCAGUACGCUCUCGCAGCCUAAUUAGGCUGUGAGCGUCUGCCUCGACCUCGCCCGUGGGUUGGGGGCCAGACGCCAUUUAGCGGGCUGGCGGUGGGCCGGCGCCUCGGCGUCCCCUCGCGAGAUUUCCCGAGGCUGGUUCCCGGCGGUUUUUGGUCGCUUCCUCACGCCGGGGACGAGAAUCUAGAAGCGGCUACGCAUGUAGGGUCCUUCGAGAACGUAUCUUCGGACGCGGGUUCGACUCCCGCCGCCUCCACCA
rnacentral:tmRNA from 1 species